rnacentral:rRNA from 1 species
GAUGAACGCUGGCGGCGUGCCUAAUACAUGCAAGUCGAGCGAACGGACGAGAAGCUUGCUUCUCUGAUGUUAGCGGCGGACGGGUGAGUAACACGUGGAUAACCUACCUAUAAGACUGGGAUAACUUCGGGAAACCGGAGCUAAUACCGGAUAAUAUUUUGAACCGCAUGGUUCAAAAGUGAAAGACGGUCUUGCUGUCACUUAUAGAUGGAUCCGCGCUGCAUUAGCUAGUUGGUAAGGUAACGGCUUACCAAGGCAACGAUGCAUAGCCGACCUGAGAGGGUGAUCGGCCACACUGGAACUGAGACACGGUCCAGACUCCUACGGGAGGCAGCAGUAGGGAAUCUUCCGCAAUGGGCGAAAGCCUGACGGAGCAACGCCGCGUGAGUGAUGAAGGUCUUCGGAUCGUAAAACUCUGUUAUUAGGGAAGAACAUAUGUGUAAGUAACUGUGCACAUCUUGACGGUACCUAAUCAGAAAGCCACGGCUAACUACGUGCCAGCAGCCGCGGCAAUACGUAGGUGGCAAGCGUUAUCCGGAAUUAUUGGGCGUAAAGCGCGCGUAGGCGGUUUUUUAAGUCUGAUGUGAAAGCCCACGGCUCAACCGUGGAGGGUCAUUGGAAACUGGAAAACUUGAGUGCAGAAGAGGAAAGUGGAAUUCCAUGUGUAGCGGUGAAAUGCGCAGAGAUAUGGAGGAACACCAGUGGCGAAGGCGACUUUCUGGUCUGUAACUGACGCUGAUGUGCGAAAGCGUGGGGAUCAAACAGGAUUAGAUACCCUGGUAGUCCACGCCGUAAACGAUGAGUGCUAAGUGUUAGGGGGUUUCCGCCCCUUAGUGCUGCAGCUAACGCAUUAAGCACUCCGCCUGGGGAGUACGACCGCAAGGUUGAAACUCAAAGGAAUUGACGGGGACCCGCACAAGCGGUGGAGCAUGUGGUUUAAUUCGAAGCAACGCGAAGAACCUUACCAAAUCUUGACAUCCUUUGACAACUCUAGAGAUAGAGCCUUCCCCUUCGGGGGACAAAGUGACAGGUGGUGCAUGGUUGUCGUCAGCUCGUGUCGUGAGAUGUUGGGUUAAGUCCCGCAACGAGCGCAACCCUUAAGCUUAGUUGCCAUCAUUAAGUUGGGCACUCUAAGUUGACUGCCGGUGACAAACCGGAGGAAGGUGGGGAUGACGUCAAAUCAUCAUGCCCCUUAUGAUUUGGGCUACACACGUGCUACAAUGGACAAUACAAAGGGCAGCGAAACCGCGAGGUCAAGCAAAUCCCAUAAAGUUGUUCUCAGUUCGGAUUGUAGUCUGCAACUCGACUACAUGAAGCUGGAAUCGCUAGUAAUCGUAGAUCGGCAUGCUACGGUGAAUACGUUCCCGGGUCU